UACGUAGGGGCCUAGCGUUGUCCGGAUUUAUUGGGCGUAAAGAGCUCGUAGGCGGUUCGGUAAGUCAGGUGUGAAAUCUCCACGCUCAACGUGGAGGCGCCACCUGAAACUGCCGUGACUCGAGUCCGGUAGGGGAGACUGGAAUUCCUGGUGUAGCGGUGGAAUGCGCAGAUAUCAGGAGGAACACCGGUGGCGAAGGCGGGUCUCUGGACAGUUCCUGACACUGAGGCACGAAGGCCAGGGGAGCAAACGGG
rnacentral:rRNA from 1 species